CCCGGUUUAACAAGAACUAUAAGGGCAUGAGUCUAUCCAAAAUCACCACCACCGUGGGUCUAAACAUUGGCACUGUCGAUGUGGGAAAGUCUCGCCUCCUGUUCUGGGACUUAGGGGGGCAGGAGGAGCUGCAGUCUCUGUGGGACAAGGUAAUACGGAUGCCGUGCACUGCCUGCCCCUCGGGCCAUCUCUCCCCAGGUGGCACCCCUGGGCCUCUUCCUCUCUCUCCUCCGGAAGCCUCAGCAUCAUUGUCCUUCCCUCCUGUCAGCAGCUCCCUUCACCCACUUUGUUCCUGAGCUGUCCGCUCCCCUAGUCCUUUGCCAGUUCCCGCGUUGCUCCCCCGACAGUGAGGACACACUUGGUUCCUUUUAGCUUAGAGACUGUGUUGCUAAACAUGGCCAAGAAACAGAUGUGGGGAAGGUGCCAAACCUGUGGUGCUCAGCUCCACCACCCGGGCCUGUGUCCCCUGCUUAGGACCUGUUCCCCAUGGUGGCUCCUUCCCCAUCGGGGAGGAUGUCUUCAAAGCCCACAGUAACUGUCUCAUCUUUCGCCGUAGGUUUGGGGCAUUUCUCAGACCUUACUGUGGUGCUCCUGCCCCGACACCCCAAGGCUGGAGUCUGUAUCCAGCUCAGCCUGCGCCCAGCACUGGGGUCCAGUGGUGAGCAGGGCAGACCUAGCUCCUUCCCUGGGCAGCCCCCUCUGGUGGAUUGGCAGGGUGGGUUGGUCCAGCCCAGUGCUGGGCGCAGGUAUACCUGCCCUGACGCUUGCCGGUAGCCCAUGUGUUUACAACUGAGUGCCCAGGCCCUGAUUUCUGGUGUGACUCCAGUAGCAGGUACCCAGUGACCUUUUUCUAGUCCCCUCAAAGCAUCUUCUCCUGCUCUCUUUUCUAACCAGGAGAGUAGCUUAUGUCCUGUGGUCAAAAGAUCACUGAUAGGCCCUCUGUGGCUGUUUAAGUUGGACUGAGGCAGUCCAAACCCCAGACCCAUGUGGGGAGUGAAACAGAUCCUGAUGUUUUGUCACAGGCCAGGGUCUCAGGAGCAGAGGCUGAGACAGAGGUUGGGGUGCGUAUUGGUGACCAGCACCUGGGAAGGGAGCCGAGAGGAUGCAGGACCAGGCAGGGCUCCCAUGCUGGGGCUGGAGGGACCGUGGAGAGGAGAAUUGCUCAUGGCUGCCCCCUGUCAGGCCAUGCUGGCCAGGACUCCCUGCUGCCUGGCAGCUCACCAUGGUGGGCUGCUCUAGGCAGCUGUGAUCUGCUAAGGCGGCCCUUUGUGGAUCAAAGUGGGUCCUGCAGGAGCCAACUAGAGGCUGACGACUGGGCACACAGCCUGCCACUGGGCAGCCAGGCCGCAGCAAGGGACAGGUUCCUGUGCAGUCACCGCCCACCGUGCUCUGCUCGCCUCCACGCCCUGCGUUGGGGAGUGGAUCCUCCAAGACCAGGGCCUUCUCCUGAGGGGAAGCUGGAAGAAGGAGAGAGGGACAAACUGUAGGCCGGCUUUGCAGCUGGUUGUGGCCACCUUCACUGCCACUCCUGCCCGUGCUGUGGCCUCGUCAUGAGGGUCUGAGCCCCUGCCUGCUGAGCCCUCCUCUGGUGGACUCCUGGGUUCCUCACAUGCUCCCUGGCCUGCCAGGGAGUGGGUGCCCUACCUCCUGCCAGGGAGGGGUCUCUGCUGAGCCCUGGACACUAGUUGCCCAAUGUGCUCAGGAGGCAGCCAGGGGUCGUGACUCAGGGGGUCUCCUGCUGAGCGGCUGCCUUGGUGCUGACCACACCCCCAGCCCUGCAGAGCCCAGGCCUGGGGAUGGACAGCAGAGUCCCCUGUGGGUCCCCGGGGGGUAGGAAGUAGAGUUCUUAACUCUCUCUCCAGGUCCUCAGUGCUGCGUCCUAGUCCCUGGUCCCCAUGCAGUCCAGCACUGCAGCACUCUGUUGGGCCAGCUGAGUCAUUUUGUCCCUGGUGGAUGUCUGGUGGACCUUUACUCUUGUGUACACUGCCUCACGUCUGCCUCACACCUUCAUCUAGACUGUGUGGUGGUGUCCAUGGGUCUGUAUGCCGGCCAGCCUUGGGCCACGUCCACCCACAUGCGGGACCAGUUGGACCACCUGGCAGUCUGUCACAGGGAGGACUUCUGGCUCCUGUUCCUCCAGGCCACACACUUCAGCGUGUGCCCACCCAGAAGCCAAGGUUCCAAGCUUGAGCCCUUCUCACUUUCUGCUGGUUGUGUAGGAUCCCCCCAUGUGACCACAUGUGACGCAGCCGUCAGGCUUGGGAGCAUGGCAGGUGCUGUAGGGUCAGGGCAGCCUGCUGUGCCCUGGUCCUGCUCACACUCAGCCCCAGUCGUGCUGCUGUUGUCACUGCCACCACUGCUGGGCUGUCACCGUACAUCUGCCAGGUAUGGUGGUGGCUCCAGCACCCAUCUGCCAGGGCCCAGUUCCACACCAGGAGUGAAGUCCUCUGCCAGUGCCUGGGGCCCCAGUGGCUGCCUGGUGAUUCUCUCACUGGGCUUGCUGCAAACCCCACACAGUAGCCCUUCUUGUCUUGGAGACCUCCACUGUAGGGCCUGCCAGCUCCCUUGUUUCAGCCCCAAGACAGCCAGACUGCUCCUUGGAGCCCCUGCAGAAUGCCUGCAACUCUCCGUCGCCCAGCACAUAGGCCAGAGAAGUUCCUGUGUGUGGGGCUGGUGGUUUGCAGAACACUGGAGGCCCCUUGUUGGGUUCCUUCUCUGUGGCAAUGCAGAUAGAAAAGUUUGUCUUGUGCUGGGGUGGGGGUGCCCUGCUCAUUGCACCCCAAGAAUUGUCCAGGGCUACCAGGCUUGCCCCUCCCCAGUUGUCUCCCACCCUUGGGAACACAUGCAUCACCAGGGCCCUGAGCUUGCUGACCACUGGCUCGUCCUGCCCAGUCAGCAGAAUGGCCUUGCUGUAGCAGUCAGUGUGGUGGUCUGUCAAAUGUGCAGUUGUUCUGGGUCCCUGGGCUCUCUGAUGGACAAGCAGGACAGCUGGGGCCAAGUGGCCAAGAUGCUGCUGUCUGCUCCCCGAGAAUGCGGGUGCUCCUGACGUUCUCUUCUGAUCAGGAUAGGGGGUUGACUCGCCAGGUCUGUGGCUGCAUCCGUUCCGCCCUGUGCCCAGGGCGUCCCUCCCUCAGAUGUCCCCGCUUUGUGCAUCUGUCUUCCCAGAGGUCCUACGUUCCAUUCGCACCCGCAUAACUGGCCCCAGGCCCCAGUCUCUGGUGAUUAAAUGUUGCAGGGGCUCUUGUGACAGACACCAUUGGUGUCAGCAAGCCCAGGGCUGACCGCCCUGCUGGCACCAGUCUGGCCUAUAGAGCUGCAAGCUCGGUAGUGCCGGUUCCGUCUUUGGCCCUGCCAUCCUGUGUAGGGGCCAGAGCUGCUUCUAACGUGGUGUUGGCCUCACCUGUCAGGCUUACUGUCUGAGUCAGCACAAGGACCCACCAGAGCACUCUCUCCACCUCCAGGUCUUCAGAGGGACCGGCUUGGUCUGGUCUCGUCCAGUCCCCAAGCCUUAUCUUCCCCUUUUGGCCACCAGGAGGCUGCGGUCAUGGGCGGUUCUCAGGAGCAGACACUGAAUACUACGCAGAGUGCCAUGGUGUCAUCUAUGUCAUCGACUCCACUGACGAGGAGAGACUCUCGGAGUCCAAGCAAGCAUUCG